AUAUUUAUUUAAUAGAAAAAAAUACCACGAUCAAUGAAUGUUGUUAUUCGAGAAUGAAGCUUAUUCAUUGCUUUUAGAGAGGGUUGGUUCGUGUGAUAUUCUAAAAGGCAGGAUAAUCGACUGCAUCGUUUGUGCUAGUGAGUGAUUGCGUUCGCACUGUUCUCUG